AUUGAACGCUGGCAGCAUGCUUUACACAUGCAAGUCGGACGGCAGCACAGAGAAGCUUGCUUCUUGGGUGGCGAGUGGCGAACGGGUGAGUAACAUAUCGGAACGUACCGAGCAGUGGGGGAUAACUAAUCGAAAGAUUAGCUAAUACCGCAUAUAUUCUGAGGAAGAAAGCAGGGGACCAUUUGGCCUUGCGCUGUUUGAGCGGCCGAUAUCUGAUUAGCUGGUUGGUGGGGUAAAGGCCUACCAAGGCGACGAUCAGUAGCGGGUCUGAGAGGAUGAUCCGCCACACUGGGACUGAGACACGGCCCAGACUCCUACGGGAGGCAGCAGUGGGGAAUUUUGGACAAUGGGCGCAAGCCUGAUCCAGCCAUGCCGCGUGUCUGAAGAAGGCCUUCGGGUUGUAAAGGACUUUUGUCAGGGAAGAAAAGGACAGGGUUAAUACCCCUGUCUGAUGACGGUACCUGAAGAAUAAGCACCGGCUAACUACGUGCCAGCAGCCGCGGUAAUACGUAGGGUGCGAGCGUUAAUCGGAAUUACUGGGCGUAAAGCGGGCGCAGACGGUUACUUAAGCAGGAUGUGAAAUCCCCGGGCUCAACUUGGGAACUGCGUUCUGAACUGGGUGACUAGAGUGUGUCAGAGGGAGGUAGAAUUCCACGUGUAGCAGUGAAAUGCGUAGAGAUGUGGAGGAAUACCGAUGGCGAAGGCAGCCUCCUGGGAUAACACUGACGUUCAUGCCCGAAAGCGUGGGUAGCAAACAGG
rnacentral:rRNA from 1 species